UACGUAGGUGGCCAGCGUUGUCCGGAUUUAUUGGGUUUAAAGGGUGCGUAGGCGGCUUUUUAAGUCAGUGGUGAAAGCCGAUCGCUUAACGAUCGAACUGCCAUUGAUACUGAAAGGCUUGAGUAUAGUUGAGGUAGGCGGAAUUGACAGUGUAGCGGUGAAAUGCAUAGAUAUGGGCAAGAACACCAAUGGCGAAGGCAGCUUACUAAAGUAUAACUGACGCUGAGGCACGAAAGUGUGGGGAUCAAACAGG
rnacentral:rRNA from 1 species